AUUGAACGCUGGCGGCAGGCUUAACACAUGCAAGUCGAGCGGGGUGAUGGUGCUUGCACUAUCACUUAGCGGCGGACGGGUGAGUAAUGCUUAGGAAUCUGCCUAUUAGUGGGGGACAACAUCUCGAAAGGGAUGCUAAUACCGCAUACGUCCUGCGGGAGAAAGCAGGGGACCACUUGUGACCUUGCGCUAAUAGAUGAGCCUAAGUCGGAUUAGCUAGUUGGUGGGGUAAAGGCCUACCAAGGCGACGAUCUGUAGCGGGUCUGAGAGGAUGAUCCGCCACACUGGGACUGAGACACGGCCCAGACUCCUACGGGAGGCAGCAGUGGGGAAUAUUGGACAAUGGGGGGAACCCUGAUCCAGCCAUGCCGCGUGUGUGAAGAAGGCCUUAUGGUUGUAAAGCACUUUAAGCGAGGAGGAGGCUCUUUUGGUUAAUACCCAAGAUGAGUGGACGUUACUCGCAGAAUAAGCACCGGCUAACUCUAUGCCAGCCGCCGCGGUAA
rnacentral:rRNA from 1 species